ACUCCUGCGGGAGGCAGCAGUGGGGAAUAUUGCACAAUGGGCGCAAGCCUGAUGCAGCCAUGCCGCGUGUAUGAAGAAGGCCUUCGGGUUGUAAAGUACUUUCAGCGGGGAGGAAGGCGAUAAGGUUAAUAACCUUGUUGAUUGACGUUACCCGCAGAAGAAGCACCGGCUAACUCCGUGCCAGCAGCCGCGGUAAUACGGAGGGUGCAAGCGUUAAUCGGAAUUACUGGGCGUAAAGCGCACGCAGGCGGUCUGUCAAGUCGGAUGUGAAAUCCCCGGGCUCAACCUGGGAACUGCAUUCGAAACUGGCAGGCUAGAGUCUUGUAGAGGGGGGUAGAAUUCCAGGUGUAGCGGUGAAAUGCGUAGAGAUCUGGAGGAAUACCGGUGGCGAAGGCGGCCCCCUGGACAAAGACUGACGCUCAGGUGCGAAAGCGUGGGGAGCAAACAGGAUUAGAUACCCGUGUAGUCCCAUGAU
rnacentral:rRNA from 1 species